rnacentral:rRNA from 1 species
AUUGAACGCUGGCGGCAGGCCUAACACAUGCAAGUCGAACGGAUGGAGCGAGCUUUCUCGUGGAUUCCGCGUCGGACGGGGGAGUAAUACCUAUGAAUCUGCCUGCUAUGGGUUUAUAACAACCUGAAACGGCCGCUAAUACUGCAUACUUCCUGAUGCAGAAGGUUGGUGAUCUUCGGACCUCUCGCUAUCAUAUGAGCCUAGGUCGGAUUAGCUAGUUGGUUGGGUAAAUACCUACCAAGGCGACGAUCCGUAACUGGUCUGAGUGGAGGAUCACUCACAUUGGAGCGGGACCAGGGUCCAGGCUACUAAGAGAGGCAGCAGAGGGGAAUAUUGGACAGUGGGCGAAAGCAUGAUCCAACGAGGCCGCGUGUGUGAAGACGGUCUUCGGAUUGUAAAGAACGUUAAGUUGGGAGAAAGGGCAGUAAGCUAAUACCUUGCUGUUUUGACGUUAAUAACAGAAUAAGCACCGGCUAACUUCGUG